rnacentral:rRNA from 1 species
CGGCGGACGGCUGAGUAACGCGUAGGAACGUACCCCAAAGUGAGGGAUAAGCACCAGAAAUGGUGUCUAAUACCGCAUGUGCUCUAAGGAGUAAAGCUUCGGCGCUUUGGGAACGGCCUGCGUCUGAUUAGCUUGUUGGUGAGGUAAAAGCUCACCAAGGCGACGAUCAGUAGCUGGUCUGAGAGGAUGACCAGCCAGACUGGGACUGAGAACGGCCCAG